GAUGAACGCUAGCGGCAGGCCUAAUACAUGCAAGUCGAGGGGCAGCGCGGUAGCAAUACUGGCGGCGACCGGCGCACGGGUGCGUAACACGUAUGCAACCUACCUUCAACUGGAGGAUAGCCCGGGGAAACUCGGAUUAAUACUCCAUAAUACAGGGAUCCCGCAUGGGAAUAUUGUUAAAGCUACGGCGGUUGAAGAUGGGCAUGCGUUCGAUUAGCUAGUUGGUGUAGGUAACGGCUCACCAAGGCUACGAUCGAUAGGGGGUCUGAGAGGAUGAUCCCCCACACUGGUACUGAGAUACGGACCAGACUCCUACGGGAGGCAGCAGUAGGGAAUAUUGGUCAAUGGAGGCAACUCUGAACCAGCCAUGCCGCGUGCAGGAUGACGGCCCUAUGGGUUGUAAACUGCUUUUAUACAAGAGAAAACCCUGGUACGUGUACCAGGUUGAUAGUAUUGUAAGAAUAAGCAUCGGCUAACUUCGUGCCAGCAGCCGCGGUAAU
rnacentral:rRNA from 1 species